ensembl:lncRNA
CCAGGGUCAUAGAGUUGAGGGUCGGGGGGUCCUCCAGGGUCAUAGAGUUGAGGGGUGGGGGUCCUCCAAGGGCAUAGAGAUGAGGGGUGGGGGUCCUCCAAGGGCAUAGAGUUGAGGGUUGGGGGGUCCUCCAAGGGCAUAGAGAUGAGGGGUGGGGGUCCUCCAAGGGCAUAGAGAGUGGGGGGGUCCUCCAGGGGCAUAGAGUUGAGGGUCGGGGGGUCCUCCAGGGUCAUAGAGUUGAGGGGUGGGGGUCCUCCAAGGGCAUAGAGAUGAGGGUGGGGGUCCUCCAAGGGCAUAGAGAUGAGGGGUGGCGGUCCUCCAAGGUCAUAGAGAUGAGGGUGGGGGUCCUCCAGGGUCAUAGAGUUGAGGGGUGGGGGUCCUCCAGGGUCAUAGAGAUGAGGGUGGGGGUCCUCCAGGGUCAUAGAGAUGAGGGGUGGGGGUCCUCCAAGGGCAUAGAGAUGAGGGUGGGGGUCCUCCAAGGGCAUAGAGUUAAUGGGGGAGGGGAAGGGGGGUCCUCCAAGGGCAUAGAGAUGAGGGUGGGGGGGUCCUCCAAG